rnacentral:lncRNA from 1 species
GGGUCCUGCUGCUCCUCUGGAAGUUCGCAUGGCGUGUGUCCAGCCAGAGCUGGGGACCGAGGAGGCGAUGGAGGCCCCUGUUCUGCCUGCUGGUUUACCAGGAAGUCCAUGAGCCCAAGAGCCUCGGCUGGUCCUGCCCAUGGGGGUCCUGGCCAUGCUGCGUCCUGACCAAGGUCAUGAGGGCUCUGCCAAGGUGGGGGCCUGGACCCUGGCACCCAGUGCCUGAAGCCAAUGUCCUGUGGCUGUCAUUCCCAUGGCUGCAGAUACACAGAAGGGGGUCCAGCUCCUGACUGGGGGCAAAGGUCCAGGACAGCAGACAGACGGGCGACGCCGGGCCUCUGGCUGCUCCAGGUCCCCACUGGUAGGCGAUCCGGGCCAGGGCUCAGCACCAGUCCUCUGUAUCCCUGCGGGACAGCAGCUUGGAGCCUGUGGUGCUCAGGAAGAGGCUGGGAGGACAGUGGGGGGUGGGAGGUUGUAAUCCCUUGGGGUUCAGGUGGGUGGGGGGCUCCAACCUCAGGCUAUACCACAGUUUCCUGACCACAGCCACCUGGCCAGGGCAGCGCUUGUCUGACUGGGCCGGGUGGGGGCUUGGGUGGCUGGUGACACUGUCCCUCAGGAGGAAUGAGGUGGGCAGAGCCUCCCUGUGCCAGCCUCUGCCCCCUUGGCCUGGUGGCCUGGACGGAGCCAAUCUGCUGGGCAGGACUGGGGUGUCUGGGACCUGGCUCCUGGGGCCCUCACCUCCGGGCCCCUCUGCAGCUCCCAGGGUCCUGCCUGGGCACAGGGCCUCAGUUUCCCUAAGGCCUGGCUCCCUGUCAGGGGCCCUGCUGGGCUCCUCCUCCUCCCUCCCCUGCCCCUGCGGGUUGUCCCUCAUGGGAUCAGACCUCUGCUUUGGGCACCCUGGCACCAUGCUCCUGCCGGGCCAGGGGCUCUCUGGCAGGAACCUGGCAGGGCAGGGCCAGGGACGGACAUGCAGACCCACAGGGAUGCGGCUGGUCAUCCAGCGCCGCCCAGACCCGGCUGAGCCCAGUGCACAGCUGUGUGGUCCCUGUGGUGGAGGAGCUCCAGCACCCAGGAUGCCGCGUGUGACUGUGGCCAAGGCCACUUCUGCAAGGCCCAGGAAGGGGACCCUGUGUCCUGUGCGAGCCCCACACCACCUGCCACCCUGGCUGGAGGGUGAAGGAGAGACCACCAAGGCAGGACCGAGGCCCAGGAGGUGCCGACUGCCUGCCUGGGACCUUCUCGCCCAAUGGGACCCUGGACCAGGUGCAGUGGGUGGCUUCAGAGGGAAGCAGAACCGGGGACCAGCAGCAAGGAUGGCACCUGCUCCCUUGUGGCGUCUCUGUUCUUGCGUCCUGCAUGGUGACCGUCGGCACCCUCACUCUGGCGGGCGUUCUCUCAGCCCUCUGGAUACGGAAGAGAAGGAAAAGGUCGUCGGCUGCUCCGGCCCCUUCUGUGACAGGAGUUCCAGGCCGUGGGGCCCCGGAGACCAUCCCCAUCCAGUUACGCCCGGCCCGCUGCCCCUGAGCUGGUUUCUGAGCUGUGUGGGGGAGAGGCAGGAAGGAGCGGAGGAGCCCGCAGAUCCUGAGGCCCUGCAACCCAGGCCCUAUGUCACCACCGUGGCUGUGGAGAAGGACCCCCACCGCUGA